rnacentral:snRNA from 1 species
CUCUCUUAAGGUAGCCAA